UUUUUUGACUAAAACACUCAAUUUACGUUUAAUGCACAUUUCACACAUAGAUGUUUGACCUUUGAGGUGAUAUUUAUAUAAAAAUGAAUAUGUGUAAAGUAAUAAUUUUAACAACAUAUUUUGCUACAAUGUGAUCACAUAUUGUUUGAUGUACGAACAUCUAAUGUUUCCGAAUUUAUUCCGACUUAAUAUGAAAAUCCAAACGUGUCUUGGUAUAUUUUGAAAAACAAAAUUAUCAUACAAUUCCCUAUUGAUCAACAAAUUGUUGGUAGUGAAGGCGAGUCCUGCGCCAUUCGACGUCACGUGUUGGCUAGAAAGCAUGGAGGACGACCAAAGGAUUUGCAGCAAGAUAAAUACCCGAAUGAAAAUUAGAAGCUUCUAAGGUCCUUUUGGUCAAAGAUGAUGUGGGUAGCAAAAUAGAUGCCUAUGGCACCAAAUAUGGCAGAGGAGGCAAUGUACGCGGUGACGGACUCUGUGAACUGGACUAUCAUGCCCAUGAAGAGGGUGGGGAAGACCUGAGAGAGAAGAAAGGUGCUGUCCAGAAUGGCGAAGUCUAAUCCGACCCCACGUUUCUCGAAAUCCUCAGACUCCAGAUCAAGGCGGGCAUCAUUCUGAGGGGGGUAAUACUCUGGUUUAUCUCUAUUGUAAUUAGCGUGCCCAUUGGAAAUACCACUCUUGUGGUUGACAUCUUCAGAGCCGUUGUCUAAUGACAUAUAAACAGAAUCCCUUGUGAUG